rnacentral:rRNA from 1 species
AUUGAACGCUGGCGGCAGGCCUAACACAUGCAAGUCGAGCGGAUGAAGGGAGCUUGCUCCUGGAUUCAGCGGCGGACGGGUGAGUAAUGCCUAGGAAUCUGCCUGCUAUGGGUGGAUAACGUCCGGAAACGGGCGCUAAUACCGCAUACUUCCUGAUGGAGAAGGUUGGGGAUCUUCGGACCUCACGCUAUCAGAUGAGCCUAGGUCGGAUUAGCUAGUUGGUGGGGUAAAGGCCUACCAAGGCGACGAUCCGUAACUGGUCUGAGAGGAUGAUCAGUCACACUGGAACUGAGACACGGUCCAGACUCCUACGGGAGGCAGCAGUGGGCAAUAUUGGACAGUGGGUGAAAGCCUGACCCAGCCAUGCCGCGUGUGUGAAGAAGGUCUUCGGAUUGUAAAGCACUUUAAGUUGGGAGGAAGGGCAGUAAGUUAAUACCUUGCUGUUUUGACGUUACCAACAGAAGAAGCACCGGCUAACUACGUG